CUUACAUCAAACAGCAAAACAUUGGUCAAUAACCCUCAAAGCAUUUUCACCCUCAAGUCCUUUUCUUCCUGAAGUCUGAAUAAUGGACUAAUGGAAGUAAUUUUUUCUUUAAACCAAAGUACCUGCUCUGCUAGACCAAAUGUGAAGUAGUGUUUCCAAUUUACACAGUACAGAAAUAAAAUCCUAUAGUCUGUAAGAAAACCAUCUCUCUCCAAACUUUCAGCCUUUUCUGGUAAAGAAGAAAGUUUAUUAUGACCUAUGGGUUUUUCCAUAGUAAAGUCAUGGAGCUUGAUACCAUGGUAUCAGAUGGGAAAAGUAUGAAUAGAUCAUCAAAGUUUUUUUGUGGAAAAAAAUGCUAUUUGCAAAUUUAUUUUUACUUGGCAAGAUUAGUAUGUUUAGUUUUUGGGCAAAUUGAAGUAGCAGACUUUUUUAUUUCAUCAUUGAUACCAUGAAAUGAAUUUCAUUCCUGGGUCAUCCAAGAAAUAUACAACCAGUUAGCUUACAGGAGCGAAAGUCUGGCCAUAAAGAACAAAGCAAAGUCAAAAAUAUUAAAUAAACUUGUAUGGUAUAAAGACAAUAGGAAUGGUAUUUAAUGCAAGUUACUCAGUCCCUACUUUCUGAAUAACUUAACCUUGUUCAUUUUUAGUGGAAAAUAUAGGAAAUUUCAAAAUGAAACAAACCAAGCUCUAGUAGGUUAAAUGUAGAGGCUAUGAUAACUUAAAUUUUCAGAGUUUUUAUAUCAUGAAAAGCUAGCAAGCAAUGCUUAAAUCCUAGUGUAUAAAUAUUGCUUUCCCAUUAAGUAUCAAAUGAAAAGCCUUUACUAUGAAAACAAGUAUCAAGCAGUGUUCUCCAAAUUUUACUGGUAUAUUCUUUUUGAUCUAGGUAAUAAAAGAAGCUCUUUAUAUAAAUGCAUUUAAUAUAAAGUUUUAAAGCUGUUAUUUCUAAGUCUAGUACAAGAAGUGGCUUAGCUCACUAAUUACCUGCAGCAAAAUGCAUUAAAAAGAUUUCUCUGUAACCUACAUUGAUGUUAUCUGUGAUUAGCCAUAAUUCAAAAAACCCCAUAACAAAGAUUUUAUAAUUUUCCUAGCUGAUUCUCAUAACUAUAUUGUUUCCUUAAAAAUGUACUGAAAUCUACCUCAAGACAAAAAAAAGCAUGCCAUUUUAAGAGCAGGGCUUUGGUGGGGAGACUGGGACAGAAACAGUGAUUCAAAACAUAUACUUAAAUGUUCUGUAAUCUAAAAGAUAUUAAAUAAUUUAAGAAAUAAUACUCAAAAA
rnacentral:lncRNA from 1 species